rnacentral:ncRNA from 1 species
GAUAGAGGCGCGGGAUUCAUCAGUACCCAUCACAAGGCCAGGCAGCCGUGGUGCGGGAAAGGGGAGACCGCCGAAGCAAAGAAGAUGCCUGAGUCUUCUGCGCUGGGUCGUCAGAGAACAUCUGCCGGACUGUCACAAGACUUUGUGAAGCGCUAUCG